UACAGAGGCCACAAGCGUUAGUCGGAAUCACUGGGCUUAAAGGGUGCGUAGGCGGGCUCGCAAGCGUCCUGUGAAAUACCUCGGCUCAACCGAGGAACAGCAGGGCGAACUGUGAGUCUUGAGGCAUGUAGGGGCUGCGAGAACAGUUGGUGGAGCGGUGAAAUGCGUAGAUAUCAACUGGAAUGCCGAUGGUGAAGACGCGCAGCUGGGCAUGUCCUGACGCUGAGGCACGAAAGCGUGGGGAGCAAACAGG
rnacentral:rRNA from 1 species